rnacentral:misc_RNA from 1 species
GAUGAAGAACGUAGCGAAAUGCGAUAAGUAAUGUGAAUUGCAGAAUUCAGUGAAUCAUCGAAUCUUUGAACGCACAUUGCGCCCGCCAGUAUUCUGGCGGGCAUGCCUGUCCGAGCGUCAUUUCAACCCUCGAACCCCUCCGGGGGGUCGGCGUUGGGGACCUCGGGAGCCCCUAAGACGGGAUCCCGGCCCCGAAAUACAGUGGCGGUCUCGCCGCAGCCUCUCCUGCGCAGUAGUUUGCACAACUCGCACCGGGAGCGCGGCGCGUCCACGUCCGUAAAACACAACUUCUGAAAUGUUGACCUCGGAUCAGGUAGGAAUACCCGCUGAACUUAAGCAUAUCAAUAAGCGGAGGA